UAAGAAAAAAUGAGUAGCUUAAUGAUUCAUUCACCAGUAAUUCCAAUACAUGACAUAUUAAUGAGUGUUGCCAGUAUUAAUGGAGAGAAUGACAGCUAAGCUUAGGAAAUAAAAUAACCAGCUAAUACAAAACGACAAAAGAAUACAACAUAAAUGUGCAGAUAGUGUGCAGGUAUUGCACCAACGAAAUAUAGCUAACUUCUCUAAUAGAAUCUGGCCACCUCCUCUAAGGAAUAUAACUAAUUUGAGCUCAUGAUAAGCUAAAAAGGGGAUCCUUGAGCUGAUAGUCUCUUCCACAAUUCGAUACUCCCCCCUUAUGCAACCUUGUCCACAAGGUUGAGAUUAGGGAAUCUCUGCUCCAAAUCAUACAGAAAUUCCCAAGUAGCUUCUUCAGGUAACAGACCUGUUCCCCCUCUUAACCAUCUUCCUAUCUAGAAUAGCAAUUGGAACUACAGGCGGAGAAUCAAUUGUCGGAAUAUCUGUAGUUGCCUGUGUUGCAGCUGGAAGGAAUCUUUUAAGUUGGGAGACGUGAAAAACAAGAUGCACAAAAGAUCCUGAAGGCAAUUGCAGUUUGUAAGCUACUGCUCCAACCUUGUCAAGUAUUAAAUAUGGCCCAUGGAACAAAGCUGAUAACUUAUGAAUCUUCCUAUAAUCACACUAUGUUGGCUAUAGGCCUGUAGUUUGAGAUAAACCCAGUCCCCAAUUUGAAACCCUCUCUCAGACCUAUGCUUAUCUGCCAAUUGUUUCAUUCUAUGCUGA
rnacentral:lncRNA from 1 species